rnacentral:rRNA from 1 species
UGGGGAAUUUUGGACAAUGGGCGAAAGCCUGAUCCAGCAAUGCCGCGUGUGUGAAGAAGGCCUUCGGGUUGUAAAGCACUUUUGUCCGGAAAGAAAUCCUUGGCUCUAAUACAGUCGGGGGAUGACGGUACCGGAAGAAUAAGCACCGGCUAACUACGUGCCAGCAGCCGCGGUAAUACGUAGGGUGCAAGCGUUAAUCGGAAUUACUGGGCGUAAAGCGUGCGCAGGCGGUUUGCUAAGACCGAUGUGAAAUCCCCGGGCUCAACCUGGGAACUGCAUUGGUGACUGGCAGGCUAGAGUAUGGCAGAGGGGGGUAGAAUUCCACGUGUAGCAGUGAAAUGCGUAGAGAUGUGGAGGAAUACCGAUGGCGAAGGCAGCCCCCUGGGCCAAUACUGACGCUCAUGCACGAAAGCGUGGGGAGCAAACAGGAUUAGAUACCCUGGUAGUCCACGCCCUAAAACGAUGUCAACUAGCUGUUGGGGUUUUAUUAACCUUAGUAGCGCAGCUAACGCGUGAAGUUGACCGCCUGGGGAGUACGGUCGCAAGAUU